AAGGGAAUCCGGUGCAAGUCCGGAACGGUCCCGCCGCUGUGAGGGGAGACGCUCCCGCGCCACACGCCACUGGCCUUCGGGCUGGGAAGGCGGCGAGGGAGGGAGCCCCGAGUCAGAAGACCU
rnacentral:ncRNA from 2 species